GGCGGCUCCUGCAGGAGUAGCCGGCAGGGAGUGAGCACCAGGUCUCGUGUGGGAGACCUGCCUGUUUGGACUCCUGUCUGGCCUUACUGUCUCCCUGAGUCCUGGUGUCCUCACAGACACACUGGGGACUUCUGCUUGUGUCCAACAGGGAGUAACAGGGGCUGGAUUUACUCUUUCACCUGAAACAAUUAAAAACAAACAAACUGACCAAAUAGAUGAAACUAUGGUUUUCAAGACACUGGACAUUAGGCCACAAAGUUUAGUGACCCCAGGUCAUUGAUUAUCUCUGCUUAUUGCUUACAAGAGUUUCUAGGUCAUGGCACAGGAAGAGGGGUUAAGGCCAGGAGGGGAGAAACAGAAAUGUACUACUGUAAGGUUCUCAUACUUGAUGUGAAGUGGUAAAAUACCACUUGAAGGUAGAUUCAAGUGAUAAGAUAUGUAAUAAAUGCUAAAGCUGCCACUCAAUGGUAAAAGCUUAGAGCCAACGAAGGAGAUAAAAAUUGAAUCAUCAUAAAUAAUCUAAAAGAAUGUGAGAAAAAGGAAUAAAAACAGAUGGAACAAACAAGAAACAAAUAGCAAGAUGAGACUCCAGCCUCACUAUAUCAGUAAUCACAUUAAACGUACAUAGUCUAAACAUACGUUAGAGAUUGUCUUGUAUUUUGAAUAUUAACCUCUUCUCAGAUACCUGGUUUGCAAAUAUUCAUAAGUUGUCUUCCCAUUUUUGUUGUUUUCAAGAAACCUACUUUAAAUAUAAAUAUAUUAAGGCUGAAAGAAUGGAAAACAUAUACCACACUAACACUACUCAAAAUAAAGCUGGAAUGGCUGCAUUAAUACCAGACAAAGUAGAUUUUAGAACAAAGCACUCUACCUGGGUGGUCUGUAUCUGCAUAUCUAUAGCUAAUCUGUACCUGUAUUAUAGGAAACCGUGGUCUUUGCCUCAUUGGGUUUUGGUAAGAACCACAUGAGAUAAUAUCUGGAAAAAUGCUUUGUAGACUGUAAAACCUGGCACAGGUGUCAUUAGACCUUUAUUAUUAGAAAUUAGCCUGUCUGAAUCCUUAUGAAGAGCCAGGCAUCUGGGUUUGAACUGUUUGAUUCUCAAGAGAA